rnacentral:rRNA from 1 species
UGGGGGAUAUUGCACAAUGGGCGAAAGCCUGAUGCAGCGACGCCGCGUGGGGGAUGAAGGCUUUCGGGUUGUAAACCUCUUUCGCUAUCGAACAAGGCCCGCUUAGGGUGGGUUGAGGGUAGGUGGAGAAGAAGCGCCGGCUAACUACGUGCCAGCAGCCGCGGUAAUACGUAGGGCGCGAGCGUUGUCCGGAAUUAUUGGGCGGAAAGGGCUUGUAGGCGGCUUGUUGCGCCUGCUGUGAAAACGCGGGGCUUAACUUGGGGCGUGCAGUGGGUACGGGCAGGCUUGAGUGUGGUAGGGGUGACUGGAAUUCCAGGUGUAGCGGUGGAAUGCGCAGAUAUCUGGAGGAACACCGAUGGCGAAGGCAGGUCACUGGGCCAUUACUGACGCUGAGGAGCGAAAGCAUGGGUAGCGAACAGG